UCCCAUUCUGCCUCCAUUCCUUGCAAGGUCAGCCAGCUACAUGCUUUCUUCUGGCUGGGCCCCUGAGGGCAAUUGUUGCUUUUUCCUCUUGAGGAGUCUUUUUAUUUUCAGAGUGGCAGGGAGGAUGGUUUAUGGCUGGGCUGCCAUGAGCGGCUGCUGCAGGCUGUGCACUGCACAAGGCCAAGGCUUACCAUUUGCAUGGUCUGCGGAGGAAUGGUGCUCCUGAGAGCUGUUCUCUGCAGCAGCUUUGCUCAUGGGGCACUGGUGAGCAGCAAACAGAAUCAUCGUCUUCAUCACCAUCAGCAGGAGCAGUGACUUUACCAAUGAUUGAUCAGCUGUUAUGUGCCAGGCUCUGUGCUAAGUGCUUUACAUUUUAUCCUCCCCUCCACCCUAUAUCAGGUAAGUACUGUUAUAUCUCAUCCCCAUUUUAUAAGUGAGAACACUGAGGCCAAAGGAAUUAAGUGAUCGGUCAGAGGUCAGUCAGAUCGGGAGUGAUGGGGCUGUAAUCCAAAUGCUGGGCUGGCUGACUCCUAAGUUCACACUUUGUCUUCAUUCAUGAUACAAAAGAGAUGUCUGUUUUCCUGAGGCCCACGGGCAGGGGAGGCAGGACUCCUAAGCCUGGGCCCUCUGACUGCCUGGGCCAGUGUUUCCGUGCCAGAAACCCUGUCUCAGAGGGCAGGAAAGAGAAUGGGGAGCCCUUGCAGAAUGUGGUUGGAUCCUUCUCUCUUGGCUCUGUCAUCCUUGCCUUGGGAUGUCCUCCCAACACAGGCCAUUAAUCUCACUCAAGGGCCAGUGCUGGCAGCGGUUAUGCUGGGGACAUCUACAUACCUUGCAUUCCUCCCCUUUCACAGAAAGGAAGAAGAAAUGGAAUUUCUGUCAGAUUGCUUGAACUCACUCUCUGGAAUCACUGCGCCCAUCUUUUCAGAGAUGUUGCUACCAGAAUCAUUCCCCCCUUCUCUUAUUUAUAUACACUCACACAAUUAGAUAUAACUAUAUUCACACAUAGACACAUAUUACAACUUGAACUUAGCACCUGCUCUUGAUAUGUAUGCCCAGAAGGCUGUCACACAAUCUUGCACACACCCACACAUUUGCACAUGCCCAUCCAGCUGAGCAACAUGUAUUUACACAGCACACACAUUUGCAUCAUAUCUGUUCAUGUGCAUGCAUGUGCACAGCUGUUCCCCUUAACUGCAGAAUGAAGUGAGCACAGCAGCACAGAACAACAGCUGGUAGGAAGCAUGUUUGUCGGGGUGUGGGGAGUGCAGGAGAGAGGAGGUGGGGUGGGGCCGGGAAGAAGUGAGUACUAGCAGAACAGAGGCUUGCAAAAGACUGCAGCAACCAGCCCCAGCUGGCUGUAGGGGCUCACAGUCUUGUCACUUAGAAGGUCUGUCUGAGAGACCUUGGUGGAGUGCAGCUUCAGCAUUUGGGGCCACAGCUCUGCAGGCUUUUUCUCUAAAAGGCUGCCCUAUUUGUGUUGUGUGUCCCUGUACACGUGCGUAUUUGGCUCAGGCUGACUUUCCAUACACAGACAGGGCUCUAUUUUUGGAUGUCUUGGUUCUCAUGAGUUGUGGCUAAGUGAGGAAGUCUGAGUCUCUCCUGAUGCCCACGCUUCCAGGAUGGCUCCUGGCUGUCUGCGUUAGCAGGUCACUUUUGGGCUAGCUACCUAUACCAGUCCAAAGGCUUGAUACAGGAACCACAUCAGAAUUGGUGACAAAACAAGCUGGGGGGCUCCUAAAGGAAGAUACUGGGAUUCUCAAUAGGCCAUCACCCAAGGGAAGCAGUAUUCUCCUCCUGCGACCAUGCCAUGGGAUGAAAGCCUCUGCCCUGGGUCAUGAGGUCGGAUUCCUCAGGAAUGGUUUGGCACUAACCUCUUGGUGAUAAGUGAGUUGUUGAUCAGUUUGUUCACAUGAGAUCUGGUUGUUUAAAAGUCUGAGACCUCUCCUUCCCUCUCUCUUGCACCUUCUCUCCCCAUGUGAUGUACCUGCUCCUGCUUCACCUUCUGCCAUGAUUGGAAGCUUCCUGAGGCCUCACCAGAAGCUGAGAAGAUACUGGAACCGUGCUUCCUGUACAGCCUGCAGAACUAAUCUGGCCCCUGUGCUGUGAGAAGCCUACCCCACAUGGAAAUAUACACAGAGGAAAAUGGAGGCAGUGGCCAAAAACAUAAGUCAAGCUCCUAGUCAACAGCCAGUGCUGAUUAUCAGCCAUGUGAGUGAACCACUAGGGCCUUCUAGCCCAGUCAAGCCUUCAGAUGACUGCAGCCCCCGAUGUCACUAUACGGAGCAGGUGAACCACUCAACUGAACAUUGCCAAGCCACAGAACCAUGAAAGGGAAGACUGGAAAUAGAGUCCUUUAUCUCAGAUAUCAAACCCUGGCCCAGGAUACACAAGACCAGGAGUCAUCACCAUCAGUAACAGUAACAACAGCUUCAUUAACAAGUUGCUGUUCCGACGUGGGCUCCGGGGUGGGGAAGGAAGGAGGGCGUUCGGCUCAACGUCCAGGAGAGGCACCGGCGAACUCGAGAGCCAAGAGCGGCACUCCCACCUGGGCACUCCUUGCUGAUGGACCGGGACCUCCUCUCCCAUUUCUCCGGGGCCUCCAGGGCCCUCCCGCACAUUCAGCAUGAUCUCUGAGGAGUUCACUAGCUUUCCUCCCUCCGCUCUCCAGCUCCCGUUCCUACCAAAUGCACCAAUCAUCACUAAGCCAGGUCAAAGGCCAUGGGAUCAGCUGUGAUCUCUCCCUUCCUUUUUCAUUCUCCUCUCCUCAUAUCCAAACUGUCAUUAAACUCAGUGUUUCUUCCUUCAGGCUGUUUCUUGAAUUGGUUUCUUCUCUAUCCCACUAUUACUGUCCUGAUCCGUGCUAAUCCAACAGUUUCUGCCCCCACCCCAGGACAGCUUGUGUUAUCACGGCCAGGUGGAUCUUUCUAGAACACCAAGCUCAGCGUAUCCCUUCUGAUCAACAGAGAAGGAGAGGAGAGCCUACACUGUGCUGGGUCACUGUGUUACGCUAUGUGCUUGUUUCAUUUAAUACCGU
rnacentral:lncRNA from 10 species